rnacentral:rRNA from 1 species
AUUGAACGCUGGCGGUAUGCCUUACACAUGCAAGUCGAACGGUAACAGGUUAAGCUGACGAGUGGCGAAAGGGUGAGUAAUGUAUCGGAACGUGCCCAGGAGUGGGGGAUAAUUGCUCGAAAGAGCAGCUAAUACCGCAUACGACCUGAGGGUGAAAGCGGGGGAUCGCAAGAGCUGGAGCGAUUGGAGCGGCCGAGAUCAGAUUAGGUAGUUGGUGGGGUAAAGGCCUACCAAGCCGACGAUCUGUAGCUGGUCUGAGAGGACGACCAGCCACACUGGGACUGAGACACGGCCCAGACUCCUACGGGAGGCAGCAGUGGGGAAUUUUGGACAAUGGACGCAAGUCUGAUCCAGCCAUGCCGCGUGCGGGAAGAAGGCCUUCGGGUUGUAAACCGCUUUUGUCAGGGAAGAAACGCUCUGGGUUAAUACCUCGGGGUAAUGACGGUACCUGAAGAAUAAGCACCGGCUAACUACGUGCCAGCCGCCGCCGUAA